rnacentral:rRNA from 1 species
AGUGAACGCUGGCGGUAGGCCUAACACAUGCAAGUCGACCGGCAGCACAGUAAGAGCUUGCUCUUACGGGUGGCGAGUGGCGGACGGGUGAGGAAUACAUCGGAAUCUACUUUUUCGUGGGGGAUAACGUAGGGAAACUUACGCUAAUACCGCAUACGACCUACGGGUGAAAGCAGGGGAUCUUCGGACCUUGCGCGAUUGAAUGAGCCGAUGUCGGAUUAGCUAGUUGGCGGGGUAAAGGCCCACCAAGGCGACGAUCCGUAGCUGGUCUGAGAGGAUGAUCAGCCACACUGGAACUGAGACACGGUCCAGACUCCUACGGGAGGCAGCAGUGGGGAAUAUUGGACAAUGGGCGCAAGCCUGAUCCAGCCAUACCGCGUGGGUGAAGAAGGCCUUCGGGUUGUAAAGCCCUUUUGUUGGGAAAGAAAAGCAGCAGGUUAAUACCCCACUGUUCUGACGGUACCCAAAGAAUAAGCACCGGCUAACUUCGUG